AUUCAGCUGACGAGUUCCAAAUAAGACAAAACGCACGUCUUGUAU
rnacentral:hammerhead_ribozyme from 1 species